GUGAAUCAUCGAAUUUUUGAACGCAAAUUGCACUCUCUUCGGAGAGUAUGCCUGUUUCAGGGUCAGCCUAUAAAAAAUCGACAUCGUCUCUGUUUCGCGGUGGCGGUCGUCGGAAUUUGGGUCAUCUUAAGUCCGUUUGCUUUAAGCGACUUAAAAUUUUCUUUUGGUUCCCUGAACGUAUCUAAGAUCUAUUGCUUUACA
rnacentral:misc_RNA from 1 species